GAUGAACGCUGGCGGCGUGCCUAAUACAUGCAAGUCGAGCGAACAGACGAGGAGCUUGCUCCUCUGACGUUAGCGGCGGACGGGUGAGUAACACGUGGAUAACCUACCUAUAAGACUGGGAUAACUUCGGGAAACCGGAGCUAAUACCGGAUAAUAUAUUGAACCGCAUGGUUCAAUAGUGAAAGACGGUUUUGCUGUCACUUAUAGAUGGAUCCGCGCCGCAUUAGCUAGUUGGUAAGGUAACGGCUUACCAAGGCAACGAUGCGUAGCCGACCUGAGAGGGUGAUCGGCCACCCUGGAACUGAGACACGGUCCAGACUCCUCCGGGAGGCAGCAGUAGGGAAUCUUCCGCAAUGGGCGAAAGCCUGACGGAGCAACGCCGCGUGAGUGAUGAAGGUCUUCGGAUCGUAAAACUCUGUUAUUAGGGAAGAACAAAUGUGUAAGUAACUAUGCACGUCUUGACGGUACCUAAUCAGAAAGCCACGGCUAACUACGUG
rnacentral:rRNA from 1 species